rnacentral:rRNA from 1 species
UACGGAGGGUGCAAACGUUGCUCGGAAUCAUUGGGCGUAAAGCGCAUGUAGGCGGUCUUUUAAGUCAGGUGUGAAAGCCCUGGGCUCAACCCAGGAAGUGCACUUGAAACUGAAAGGCUAGAGUACGGAAGAGGGUCGUGGAAUUCCCGGUGUAGAGGUGAAAUUCGUAGAUAUCGGGAGGAACACCAGUGGCGAAGGCGGCGACCUGGGCCGAUACUGACGCUGAGAUGCGAAAGCGUGGGGAGCAAAC